rnacentral:rRNA from 1 species
UGGCUCAGAACGAACGCUGGCGGCAGGCUUAACACAUGCAAGUCGAACGCCCCGCAAGGGGAGUGGCAGACGGGUGAGUAACGCGUGGGAACAUACCCUUUCCUGCGGAAUAGCUCCGGGAAACUGGAAUUAAUACCGCAUACGCCCUACGGGGGAAAGAUUUAUCGGGGAAGGAUUGGCCCGCGUUGGAUUAGCUAGUUGGUGGGGUAAAGGCCUACCAAGGCGACGAUCCAUAGCUGGUCUGAGAGGAUGAUCAGCCACAUUGGGACUGAAACACGGGCCAAACUCCUACGGGAGGCAUCAGUGGG